GACGAACGCUGGCGGCGUGCUUAACACAUGCAAGUCGAACGGAAAGGCCUCUUUCGGGGGGUACUCGAGUGGCGAACGGGUGAGUAACACGUGAGUAACCUGCCCUUGACUUUGGGAUAACUUCAGGAAACUGGGGCUAAUACCGGAUAGGAGCUCCUGCUGCCUGGUGGGGGUUGGAAAGUUUCGGCGGUUGGGGAUGGACUCGCGGCUUAUCAGCUUGUUGGUGGGGUAGUGGCUUACCAAGGCUUUGACGGGUAGCCGGCCUGAGAGGGUGACCGGCCACAUUGGGACUGAGAUACGGCCCAGACUCCUACGGGAGGCAGCAGUGGGGAAUAUUGAACAAUGGGUGGAGGCCUGAUGCAGCAACGCCGUGUGCGGGAUGACGGCCUUCGGGUUGUAAACCGCUUUCGCUCAUGACGAAGCUUUGUGUGACGGUAGUGGGUAAAGAAGCACCGGCUAACUACGUG
rnacentral:rRNA from 1 species